rnacentral:lncRNA from 1 species
CCUGGCUUCUGCAGGCCCGGGGCUCAGAGCCAGCAGGCUGGAGCCAGGCGGCCUCCUGGGCCUCCUCACAGCCGCUUUUGAUAAAGCCCCUCUGUGCGUGGGGUGGGGGGGCCCGGCCGGCUGGAGCCAGCUCACAUCUGGAGGCCAGCACAGGCCUGGGGCAGCCGGCGCGGCUGACAGCGGCGCCACCCCGAGCCACACGCCGGCCCUGGAUAAACACGCCCGCGCCCACCCAGCCGCUCACCUUUCGCCCACAAGGCUGCCUUUCUUCUCGGAUCCAGGCUGGGGCCACCACGAACAUUCCUCCCAGGCACAGGGCAGAACGGGCCGCUGACCUCAAGGCUGAGUGAAGCAAAAGAAGGGCUUGGAAAAGCACCUACUACCUGCCAGGCACUGCACGUAUUUCAGGCUCACUGCUACCCUGGGAGCAGAGACAUGUGGGCAAGAAUGUGCACGCUGGAGCUAGGAGACCUGAGUUCAAAUCCUAGCUCCAGCUGUGUGACUUCCAGUAAGUCACUUAACCUCUCUGAGCCUCCAUUUCCUCAUCUGUGAACGGGCAAUAAUAAUAGUCCCCUUCUCAGAGGGCUAUGUAAACAUUUAAAAAGUUACUGUAGUAAGUUGCUUGGAGGAGUGCCUCACCCAUGCACUCAAUACCACAUUCGACAAAGUGAUACUGAGGCUUUUCUGUGCCAGGAACGAGGAUAAAGAUGGUGAAAAAUGGGGACUCAGGCCUCGGGGAGCUGUGUCUCUGCUCAGCGGAGCAGGAAGGGAUGGUCCUGAGGGGAACUCACAGAGCAACUGGCUCCCCCACCUUGUCCUGCUGCCGGGUGUCCUGGGACAAGGCUACCACCCAGCGGCCACCCAGCCAGGAUCCAGCCCAGUUUGGAGACAGGCAGGACAAGAGCGUCAGGUGCCAGUUGUGUCGAGGAGAGACCCUGUGAGAGAGGCUGUGGGAAAAGCACAGUGCCUGGCACAAAGGGAGAGGUCUGAGUAAAAGUCAAGGUGGCUUCCUGGAGGAGGCCACUGUGCUCUCCGGCGGCAGGAGAAGCAGGAAUAGAAGGAGUUUCCGGAAAAGGAAGAGGGAGAAGCUGUGUUCAGCGCCUGCGCCGUGUGUGGAGUGCAAACUGUCUGCAGGAGCCGAAUCAUUGAAUCUUCCAGCAAUCCUGUACUCCAGCCAUCCCCAUUUUACAGAUGAGAAAACUGAGGCUGGGGGUGGAAAUAAUUUAUUCACUCAGGGAGUAAAAGCUGGAGCCAGAAUUUAAACCCAGCUGGCAAUGAUGCCCCCCUUCCCUCCCUCCUCGGGUCUUUACGGCAUCCUCAUGGUGUGCUGGAUUCACAGAGGGCAUUCCAGCUCGGACCUGCUC